AGUAGGAUAGCUGGGUCAAAUGGUGGUUCCAGUCUUAGUUUUUUGAGGAAUCUCUAUACCUCUUUUCCAUAGUGAUUGUACCAAUUUGCAAUCCCACCAGUAAU
rnacentral:pre_miRNA from 1 species